CGCCGAUCUGCACAGCUCGGAGCUCGGGGCGGCAGGAGAGUCCUCGGUGUCCUGUGCCCUCCCGGCCUCCACCUGUCCCGGGGCGAGCGCAGGAUCCUGGGCUGUGUCCCCCGCGCCCUGGGACCCCGGGUCUGCGUCGCUGGGA
rnacentral:ncRNA from 2 species